rnacentral:Y_RNA from 1 species
GGCUGGUACGAAUGCAAUGGUAUUUACAGAUAAUUGUGCACAACCAGUUAUAGAUUUCUUUGUGCCUUCUCCAUUCACACUGCUUCUCUUGACUAGCCUUUG